GACGAACGCUGGCGGCGUGCUUAACACAUGCAAGUCGAACGCUGAAGCUCAGCUUUUGUUGGGUGGAUGAGUGGCGAACGGGUGAGUAACACGUGAGUAACCUGCCCCCUUCUUUGGGAUAACGCCCGGAAACGGGUGCUAAUACUGGAUAUUCACUGGUCUUCGCAUUGGGGUUGGUGGAAAGGGUUUUUCUGGUGGGGGAUGGGCUCGCGGCCUAUCAGCUUGUUGGUGGGGUGAUGGCCUACCAAGGCUUUGACGGGUAGCCGGCCUGAGAGGGUGACCGGUCACAUUGGGACUGAGAUACGGCCCAGACUCCUACGGGAGGCAGCAGUGGGGAAUAUUGCACAAUGGGCGCAAGCCUGAUGCAGCGACGCCGCGUGAGGGAUGGAGGCCUUCGGGUUGUGAACCUCUUUCGCUCAUGGUCAAGCCGCAACAAUGGUUGUGGUGAGGGUAGUGGGUAAAGAAGCGCCGGCUAACUACGUG
rnacentral:rRNA from 1 species